GAUGAACGCUAGCGGGAGGCUUAACACAUGCAAGUCGAGGGGUAAAUGGUAGCAAUACUAUGAGACCGGCGGACGGGUGCGUAACGCGUAUGCAACAUACCUUGUGCAGGGGGAUAGCCCGUGGAAACGCGGAUUAAUAUUCCAUAGUCCAGCUAUAUCGCAUGGUAUAGUUGGUAAAGAUUUAUCGGCACAAGUUUGGCAUGCGUCUGAUUAGCUUGUUGGUAGGGUAACGGCCUACCAAGGCUACGAUCAGUAGGGGUUCUGAGAGGAUUAACCCCCACACUGGUACUGAGACACGGACCAGACUCCUACGGGAGGCAGCAGUAAGGAAUAUUGGGCAAAUGGUCGAAAAGACUGACCCAGCCAUGCCGCGUGCAGGAUGAAGGCCCUAUGGGUUGUAAACUGCUUUUAGCCGGGAAUAAACACCCGUUUUAAACGGGCCCGAAGGUACCGGCUGAAAUAAGCAAUCGGCUAAACUCCGUGCCCAGCAGCCGCGGUAAGCA
rnacentral:rRNA from 1 species